AUGAAAUUAAAAUUAUUAAAUAUAAUUUUAUCAAUAAUAAAUAAACUUAAUAAUAAUAAUAAUAUUAUUAUUAAUAAUCUAUUAGAUUCAUUAAUAAAUAAGAAAUUAUUAUUAAAGAAUAUAUUAUUAGAUAUAAAUAAUAAAAAAAUAAAUAAUAUAAAAAGAAUAUUAAAUAAUAAUAAUAUAAAUAUUAAUAAUAAAUUACAACAUUUAAAUAAUAUAAAUAAUUGAAAUCUACAAAUUUAUAAUUAUAAUAAAAAUAUAGAAAUUAUAAAUACUAUAAAUGAUAAAUUAAUUAAUAAAUUAUUAUAUAAAAUAAUAACUUUAAAAUUAAAUAAUAUAAAUAUUAAUAAAAUUAUUAUAAGUAAACUUAUUAAUCAACAUAGUUUAAAUAAAUUAAAUAUUAAAUUUUAUUAUUAUAAUAAUGAUAUUAAUAAUAAUAAUAAUAAUAAUAAUAAUAAUUAUUAUAUAAAUAUAAUAAAUAAAUUAAUAAAUAUUAUAAAUAAUAAUAUAAAUAAUAAUUUAUGUAAUAUUUUAAGUUAUUAUUAUAAUAAAAAAGUAACUAUUGAACCUAUUAAAUUAUCAUAUAUUUAUUUAAAUAGUGAUAUUUUUAGUAAAUAUAUUAGUUUAAAUGAUAUAGAUAAAUAUAAUAAUGGUAUCUUAACUAAUUAUCAACGUAUAUUAAAUAAUAUUAUGCCUAAAUUAAAUGAUCAUAAUAUUUCUAUAAAUUAUAUUAAUAAUAUUAAUAAUAUUAAUAAUAAUAAAUAUAAUAAUAUAAUUAAUUUAUUAAAUAAUAAUAAUAAUAAUAAUAAUAAUAAUAAUAUUAAUAAUAAUAAUAAUUAUAAUAAUAAUAAUAAUAAUUAUAUUGGUAAUAUUAAUAAUAUUUAUAAUAAUAUAACUAUUGAUAAUAUUCCUAUAGAUAUUUUAAUAUAUAAAUAUUUAGUUGGUUGAUCUAUUAAAUUUAAAGGUAGAUUAAGUAAUAAUAAUGGUAGAACUAGUACACUUAAUUUAUUAAAUGGUACUUUUAAUAAUAAAAAAUAUUUAUGAAGUAAUAUUAAUAAUAAUUAUAAAUUAAAUUAUAUCCCUUCUAAUCAUAAUUUAUAUAAUAAUUCUAAUAUUAAUAAAAAUGGUAAAUAUAAUAUUAAAGUUAAAUUAAACUUUAUUUAA
rnacentral:rRNA from 1 species